GCAAGUCGAACGGUAACAGGAAGUGCUUGCACUUCGCUGACGAGUGGCGGACGGGUGAGUAAUACUUAGGGAUCUGCCCUAUGGUGGGGGAUAACUAUUGGAAACGAUAGCUAAUACCGCAUAAUGUCUACGGACCAAAGGGGGCUUCGGCUCUCGCCUAAGGAUGAACCUAAGCGAGAUUAGCUUGUUGGUGAGGUAAUAGCUCACCAAGGCGACGAUCUCUAGCUGUUCUGAGAGGAAGAUC
rnacentral:rRNA from 1 species